rnacentral:rRNA from 1 species
AUUGAACGCUGGCGGCAUGCCUUACACAUGCAAGUCGAACGGUAGCACGAGUGCUCGCGCUUGGUGGCUAAUGGCGAACGGACGGGUAAUAAAUCGGUACAUGUCCGGUAGUUGGGGGUAGCUCGGCGCUAGAAGGGUUAAUACAGAAUACGUACUAUGGCUGAAAGCAGGGGGCCGUCGGUCCUCGCGCUUUAGGGUUGGCCGAUGUCGGAUUAGCUAGUUGGUGGGGUAAAGGCCGACCAAGGCGACGAUCAGUAGCUGGUCUGAGAGGAUGACCAGCCACACUGGGACUGAGACACGGCCCAGACUCCUGCGGGAGGCAGCAGUGGGGAAUUUUGGACAAAGGGCGAAAGCCUGAUGCAGCAAUGCCGCGUGUGUGAAGAAGGCCUUCGGGUUGUAAAGCACUUUUGUCCGGGAAGAAGUCAUUAGCGCUAAUACGGUCGGGGAAUGACGUUACCGGAAGAAGAAGCACCGGCUAACUCCGUG